rnacentral:rRNA from 1 species
CCUACGGGGGGCUGCAGUGGGGAAUAUUGGACAAUGGGGGCAACCCUGAUCCAGCCAUGCCGCGUGUGUGAAGAAGGCCCUCGGGUUGUAAAGCACUUUCAGUGAGGAAGAACGCCUGGUGGUUAAUACCCAUCAGGAAAGACAUCACUCACAGAUGAAGCACCGGCUAACUCCGUGCCAGCAGCCGCGGUAAUACGGAGGGUGCGAGCGUUAAUCGGAAUUACUGGGCGUAAAGCGCGCGUAGGUGGCUUGAUAAGCCGGUUGUGAAAGCCCCGGGCUCAACCUGGGAACGGCAUCCGGAACUGUCAAGCUAGAGUGCAGGAGAGGAAGGUAGAAUUCCCGGUGUAGCGGUGAAAUGCGUAGAGAUCGGGAGGAAUACCAGUGGCGAAGGCGGCCUUCUGGACUGACACUGACACUGAGGUGCGAAAGCGUGGGUAGCAAACAGGAUUAGAUACCCUAGUAGUC